rnacentral:rRNA from 1 species
CCUACGGGAGGCUGCAGUGAGGAAUAUUGGUCAAUGGGCGCAAGCCUGAACCAGCCAUGCCGCGUGCAGGAUGACGGUCCUAUGGAUUGUAAACUGCUUUUGUACAGGAAGAAACACUACCUCGUGAGGUAGCUUGACGGUACUGUAAGAAUAAGGAUCGGCUAACUCCGUGCCAGCAGCCGCGGUAAUACGGAGGAUCCAAGCGUUAUCCGGAAUCAUUGGGUUUAAAGGGUCCGUAGGCGGUUUGUUAAGUCAGUGGUGAAAGCCCAUCGCUCAACGGUGGAACGGCCAUUGAUACUGACAGACUUGAAUUAUUAGGAAGUAACUAGAAUAUGUAGUGUAGCGGUGAAAUGCUUAGAGAUUACAUGGAAUACCAAUUGCGAAGGCAGGUUACUACUAAUAUAUUGACGCUGAUGGACGAAAGCGUGGGUAGCGAACAGGAUUAGAUACCCCAGUAGU